GGGGACGAUUCAGUUUCGAUUGGGCGUGCCUUGCAGGAUAUAAGCAUACCGAAGGUUCGGCUUCGUAAAAACGAAAAAUUAAAUUUAAAUGCUAACAACAAUCAAGAAUUAGCAUACGCUGCUUAAUCAAGCGUACGUCCUUUCGCUUUUUUCCCGUCGGAAGCGAUAAGGGCGUCAGUCAGACGGGGAACGGCGUUUUCGUUUCGGCUGCGGCGAAAACGCGGCAUUCAGCCGCUAUGAAAAAGAUUUAGGUCGCCGACGACCGUUUCUUUUUCGAGAUUAACCGUCGGAUAUGUAUGUAGAAAAUUUUGCAGGGGCGUUCAAGACCGGAGUGCAACUCUCCGCGUCUCCACCA
rnacentral:tmRNA from 2 species